AGUGAGCGCUGGCGGUAGGCCUAACACAUGCAAGUCGAACGGCAGCACAGUAAGAGCUUGCUCUUACGGGUGGCGAGUGGCGGACGGGUGAGGAAUACAUCGGAAUCUACUUUUUCGUGGGGGAUAACGUAGGGAAACUUACGCUAAUACCGCAUACGACCUACGGGUGAAAGCAGGGGAUCUUCGGACCUUGCGCGAUUGAAUGAGCCGAUGUCGGAUUAGCUAGUUGGCGGGGUAAAGGCCCACCAAGGCGACGAUCCGUAGCUGGUCUGAGAGGAUGAUCAGCCAAACUGGAACUGAGACACGGUCCAGACUCCUACGGGAGGCAGCAGUGGGGAAUAUUGGACAAUGGGCGGAAGCCUGAUCCAGCCAUACCGCGUGGGUGAAGAAGGCCUUCGGGUUGUAAAGCCCUUUUGUUGGGAAAGAAAAGCAGCAGGUUAAUACCCCGCUGUUCUGACGGUACCCAAAGAAUAAGCACCGGCUAACUUCGUG
rnacentral:rRNA from 1 species